UUCUUAUUCUCCCUUUGUUUAAAACCAACACUCCUGGUAAUCAGAGCCUGUUUCAUAACCAACCAGCUUAUGUCUAAUAUUCAUUAGCCACUCAACUAAAAUAUACAUAGAAAUUGCUAAAUAAAUUUCUGCAUUUAUACAGCGUGGGAGCCAGUUGGGAUUCUUUAAAAGGCCUGCUGUGUUGCUGAGUGUCCUAGAAGAAUGCAGCAUUGCAGUGGUUCCGGCUGAACCAAUAAAUCAUGACCUGAAAACACC
rnacentral:lncRNA from 1 species